rnacentral:rRNA from 1 species
UGUGUAGGCGGUUUGGUAAGUCUGGUGUGAAAUCUCCCGGCUCAACUGGGAGGGUGCGCCGGAAACUGCCGGACUCGAGUGCGGGAGAGGAGAGUGGAAUUCCUGGUGUAGCGGUGAAAUGCGUAGAUAUCAGGAGGAACACCGGCGGUGUAGACGGCUCUCUGGACCGUAACUGACGCUGAAACACGGAAGCGUGGGUAGCAAACAGGAUUAGAUACCCUGGUAGUCCACGCCCUAAACGAUGCAUAUUUGGUGUGGGUCAUUCAGUUGAUCCGUGCCGGAGCUAACGCGUUAAAUAUGCCGCCUGGGGAGUACAGUCGCAAGGCUGAA